rnacentral:lncRNA from 1 species
UUGUAGUGCACAUGACUUAUGGACCAUUGGAUCCAGUUCAUCUGGUUCAUCCAGCUCUGCCUAGUAAUGGAUGUGUUUGAGCACCCAGUCAACAGAAGCAGAGCUCUGGGACGUGUGGACAGACAUUCGCUGUAAUGAUGGACAUCUGCUCAUGGACAGUCUGGACAAAAGCAUAACCACUGCUGGUCACAGUGCGGGAAGCUCCAGGGGGAGACUGUACUGGUAUCCCCCUUCUUUGGGCGCGCCUUCACACACACUCCAGCAUUCACUCAUAUCACAGAGACCUGGCUGGGAUCAAACCAGCAACCUCUGAACCCGUGAGGCAGCGCUCUUAACUGUGAGCCACAGGUCUCUUGUUUGAACUUGUGGAGGAGCUUAUAUUUCACUGUUACCCUGUAUUUUUUUCCAAUAAAUAAGUUAAAGCA